AGACCAACACUACUAGGACGCCCCACUGGACUCAGACGAGAUGAGGCUGGAGACACAGCCACUGGAUGAGCAGUCCUGGGCACAGGUAGCCCAGUAGGACUGAGAACCAGCCGGCGCCCACCUGUGCAGACCCAACUAACCAUCAGGCUGCCCGCAGACACAAGGAGGAUGGCUUCCCGCACGUCCACCUGCUUCAGCACUCCUCCAGAAGGAGCCGUCCUUGUCCUAACUAUGGAAAUGAAGGGAACAGAGACCUCCUGGCCCAGCAACAGAGUCUGGAAAGAGGACUGGUGACAAGGAUGGCACUUGGGCCCUUUGAGGGAGGCUGACUGAGAACCAGGGAAGAUGGUCCCAGGCGUUGGUGAGUGUCUUCUGCCUGGGAAAUGAGGCCCACAGGGCAGAGCUAAGUCUAGGGGGAGGAACGCUUCAACCCAGAGCAGCCUCGGGUGGACUGGAGGCUCUAACGCUCUAGAAGAGGGCUUCCCAACCCUGGCAUUACUGCCAUCUGGGCAGGCUGAGCCUUGGUUGUGGAGGCCGUCCUGCACAUUGGAGGGUGCUGAGCAGCAUCCCUGGCCUUUGUCCACUAGACACCAACAGAACCACUCCCCUUACCCCACUUGGAACAACUAAAGACACCUCCAGACAUUGUCAAUGUCCACUGGGGGACAAAACUGCGCCUAGAUGAAAGUGAAGGUUCUAGAGCCCAAGCCCCCUGGUUCGGUGCCAUCAAGCUCUCUCACCCUCUUCCUUUCAUCCUCACCCAAUCUUCUCACGUUCUUCUCCCGAGCCUCGCUGCCUCACCAUUCUAGGCCUCCCAGUCCUCUCCCAGAACAUGAGCCCGCUCGGUGAUGCCACACAGCAGAGCCACAAUGCCACUUCCAAGAACAGUUCCAACUGCUCAAGGAUGGAAGCACAGUCACGCACGCUGCCCAAGGCAACCUGAGGAUGCAUCACAUUCUCGGAUCCUCCCCGCCCCGACAUGUGAGUCAGGAUCCUGCGAGUGAGGUACAGGACACUGCAGGGAGAGAUCCAGCAAGCCCUGCCCCUCCUAUCCCUGCUCUGGAGCCAGGGGCAGUAGUGAGGCCCCUCCCCCAGACAAAUCCGGCCCCCUAUCACCUGCGAAUGUGUCCCCACCACCCCACUCCCACACCUAGUGCUACAGGUAGUGGAGUGAUCUAAGCAAUCUGGAGGCCAGACUUUAAUGCAAAUCAUACUACUCCAGUUAUUAAAUGUUUACAAAACUUUA
rnacentral:lncRNA from 1 species